GGAUUAGAAACCCGGGUAGUCCACGCCCUAAACGAUGUUCACUAGGUGUCGGGGGGUAACCUUCGGUGCCGCAGCUAACGCAUUAAGUGAACCGCCUGGGGACUACGGCCGCAAGGUUGAAACUCAAAGGAAUUGGCGGGGGACCGCACAAGCGGUGGAGCAUGUGGCUUAAUUCGAUGCAACGCGAAGAACCUUACCAGGGCUUGACAUGUAUCUGCAAGCGAUAGAAAUAUCGUCGCCUUCGAGGGUGAUACACAGGUGGUGCAUGGCUGUCGUCAGCUCGUGUUGUGAAAUGUUGGGUUAAGUCCCGCAACGAGCGCAACCCUCAUUGUCUGUUGCCAGCGAGUAAUGUCGGGAACUCGGACGAAACUGCCUCUGUAAGGAGGAGGAAGGU
rnacentral:rRNA from 1 species